AGAGUUAAACAGUACGUGAAAUUGUUGAAAGGGAAACGAUUGAAGUCAGUCGUGCUGGCGCGAAAUCAACCCUCUUGUCGGGAGGAUACGUGUUGUGGCGAGCCUCAAAACCGCCACGACAUGUAUUCUCACGACAAGGGGGAGCACUUUCGUGUCCGCUGGUUAACAUCAAUUUCGACCGUCAUAAAAAGGCUGGAGGGAUGUGGCUCCUUCGGGAGUGUUAUAACCUUUAGCGGAAUGUGGUGGUCGGGAUUGAGGAUUGCAACGAAUACCUUUAGGGCUGUUCCACCUGGCUUCUCAUUGGUAUCCUGGUGACGACAGCUUGCUGACGUCGUUAGGAUUCGCCUUUGAACAGGCUAGAGUGUGAGCAAAUUCGUUAAGGAUGUUAACGUAAUGGCUUUAAACGACC
rnacentral:rRNA from 1 species